CACGGGGGGCGGCCCCGGCCGCGUUCCCCGGGAGCGGCGGCAGCGAGCGGCGGGCGGCCCUCGCUCGGCGCUGAGGUCGCGGCGAGCACCGGGGCGGCCUCAGCCCGAGCAGGGAAGGGAAGGGAAAAGUCACUCCCGGCCUCCUGGAGGCUGUUACGGGUAUCAAAAGGUCAAACGCUUUUCGAGCCGCCAGUGUGAGCGCCAGGGUCGUGUGGCCGCCGUUCUUAGGGGCCUGAACCCGGAAAGGGUGAGGUGGGAAAAUCCCCCGGGCUUUCCAGGAUGGAUUCGCAGAAGAGGCAAAAUCGCUUGCUGAGCAGCCACGGAGACCUGGGGAAGGUGAAGGCUCGGGGCAGCAGCUUUACAGAGGAGCGCCUCCACACCUAACCAGCAGUUCUAUCAUAUCAUAGGCCAGUGUAAUAAAGUACAACAGAAUCGACCUUAGCCCAGCCCUCAGAGGUGAUAACCAGCACAAAGGCAACUUGGACACCAAGGGCAUCAUCACAUGACACAAACCUGGGAACAAGCACAACAGCUCUGAGAACAAACAACACUGUGGCCACUGAGUAUUAAAUUAAUAUAAUGAAUGCUUGUAACAAAUCUGUUUUACACAGUCUGGUCAGAUCUGCUGUUAUCUCCACCCUUUGUGCCUCACAUCGGGCACCAAAAACGUCACAGUUUAACUCCAUCCAGCAAUUAGAUACCAUGAAACUGCUCAUCCACCACCCUCACUUCCUGCUGGGAUGGGGAGGAGGAUAGGAAAAAAAGAGCAAAACCCAUGGGUUGAAGUAAGAACAAUUUAAUAAUUGAAAUCAAAUAUAAUAAAUAAUAAUACAACUGUGAGAAAUGAAACCCAGUGGAGACAGGUGAUGCACACUACAGUUGCUCAGCACACUCUGACUGAUGCCCAGAAUGUCCCCAAGCAGCGAUCAGUGGCUCCUGGCCAGCCUCCCCCAUGUCUGUGCUUGCCACAGUGUUCUGUAGUGUGGUUUGUCCCUUAGGCCAGCUGGGGUCUGCUGGCCCAGCUCUGCUCUCUCCCAGCUCCUUGUACACCUGUCUGCCAGCAGAGUAUGGGAAACUGGAAAACCUUUAACUUAGAGCAAGCAGCACUCAGCAACAACUAAAGCAUCAGCUUGUUACCAACAUUAUUCUCUCAUUGACUCCCAAACACAGCCCUGGACCAGCUACUAGGAGGAAAGUUAACUCCCAGCUGAAACCAGGACACAGAUUAAAGUUAAAUGCAGCAACCAUUAGGAUUUUAAAACCCAGCAGGACUCCAGAUGUAUUUUAUUAAUUACUGCUAUAAUAAAAUACAUGGUGUAUUCUGGUGUAACCAUAACAUCCAUGUUUGUUUUAAUAUUAAUUCAUUGUAUAAUCAACAGGUCUUUAAGCUAACAUCAAAUGUCUCAAAAUUGCUUUUAGAAUCCAGGCUCUCUUCCAAGAAAUUCAGUUGGAUCACAUAAAAAUAAAUACCAAGGUUUCAAUUACCAAUUUCUAAAAUGUUGGUUUUUUAAACACAGCAUUCAGUAGUGCAUAUUAUUUUCCAAAUGGAAUUCUUAGGCAGAAGGAUAUGCCCCAGUAUUAUAGAGGUACUAAGUGAUACUCACCUGCAAGGCAUUUGUGUGUAAAAGUCUCUACCUGGAACGUGACUGUACAAGAAGCUGAAGUAUCUUGAGGAUGUCGAGAAUAUACUUUGUGCAAAAGCUGGUAGUUCAGCAUUCUAAUGAGCACAGCUGAACUUUUUACAAACAGGACACACAAUUCCUGAUCUGCUUGAAAAGGAUUAUCAGCAAUGAAUAUACCUUGUGAGAGUGCAAUGGUACCUAUUUCAAGGGACAUAUCAACAAGUCACUUCAAUAAAAGAGUUCUGUGCCCAGAUAAACUUUUUUCCCCCCUAUCGUAGGUAAAUUUUAAAGGUCCUGCCAAAAACCACUUGAGUAUUCAUUUUUUAGUCAGCAUGAAGACUUGACUAAGCUUGAAGCUAAGAUUUCCUGGUAACUAGCUGGUACAAUCAUUGCAACAAAGGAUACAAUACACGCUGGAAACCUUGUAACUCUGAGGUAUUGAUAUUUGAUUUAUAAAAGGUUAAAAAAAAACCUUAAAAAAACUAGAAUUAGUCUACAUCUGAAAUGACAACUUUCCCAACAAGCAGAGAAAAUUAUUUAUAAAUCAGUGUGUCCACAAAUUUUGCAGUGUUUUGACUGCUGUCAACCUCUUUAAAUAGGAGGAAACGGGCAAAUAUCUACCAAGUGACUUGUCUGAAGUCACAGUGAGUCAGUGGCUGAAAUAAGAACACAGUCCUGCUCUCCUGGUUCCCAGUCCAGCAUGGAUUGAGGCUCCACACUACAGAGCUUCCCUGGGUAUCAGCCACAGGAACUGGCAGCCGCUGGAGAGUGCAGGAGAGAUGGAGAUCCCCACAGGGGAAAACUGAAGUUUACACCGGGCUCUCACUGUGGUCUGGCAGCAGUCACACCGCUGGGCAGGAUGAGCCAUUCCUGGUCCAAGCUGAGCAGUGCUCCCUGACCCUGUCUCAGAGAAGCCUGAGUCUGGAACACCAACACCCUUGUUCUUUCCUGCAGACCUUCAGCUGUGGCUGAAUUAAAUAUCUCAUGACACAACCCCCUCUCUCCUCUGGCAGCAAGAAAAAAUCAUUACAACUAGAAUCAGUUCAGAUUCAUUGUUCCUGUAACAUCUGCGACUGUUGUUUCAGAACUACAGCACUAUCUGAAAAGGUAAAUUGACAAUAAAUUAGUAGCAGAGAUUACCCCUUUAGCCCAAAUGCUAAAAUACUGCAUUUUAAAAAUUAAAAUUUUUUUCUUAGUCUGCCAUUAAGUGUUUUAGAGACAACAGG